rnacentral:rRNA from 1 species
GAUGAACGCUGGCGGCGUGCCUAAUACAUGCAAGUCGAACGCUGGAGAUCUAGCUUGCUAGAUCGAAGGAGUGGCGAACGGGUGAGUAAUACAUAAGCAACCUACCCACGAAGACUGGGAUAAUCUCUGGAAACGGGGACUAAUACCGGAUAGGUAAUCGGAAGGCAUCUUCUGGUUAUUAAAGGUUAAAAACACUGGUGGAUGGGCUUAUGGCGCAUUAGUUGGUUGGUGAGGUAACGGCCCACCAAGACGAUGAUGCGUAGCCGGCCUGAGAGGGUGAACGGCCACAGUGGGACUGAGACACGGCCCAGACUCAUACGGGAGGCAGCAGUAGGGAAUUUUCGGCAAUGGGGGCAACCCUGACCGAGCAGCGCCGCGUGAGUGAAGACGGCCUUCGGGUUGUAAAGCUCUGUUGUAAGGGAAGAACGGUAGAUAGAGAAUAUCUAAGUGACGGUACCUUACCAGAAAGCCACGGCUAACUACGUG